AAUAUGUGACGUGUUACAUGUCUUCUCAAACAUAUGAAUCUGAAAUGUGUAUUUAAUGUCUAUGAGCCUCUUUCUUUCAUUACCUGAGCUACCAUGAGACGGACCAGCAUGCUUAGCGCAGGGCUGCUCAUAUCCAGACUGGGAGCAUGAGAGAAAUUCUCCUGCAGAUAAACAGACGGAUCCGGAUGAAUCAGUACCUGCUGCUCUCUGGAAAGCAUCGAUAGCGCUCUGAAUGCCAGUCAGUGUCGAGCGAUCUUGUCUGGCUCCGAUCUGAGUGUAAAGUGCUCCGAUGUUGAACAGAACGCUCCCUUUCUCGAAGGCCAGCGCUCUCUGGACUGAAGGAACGCCGCAGUGUGUCUCACCAGUGAAAAUGAACUCCCAGACUUCUGUGCGGUGAAUAGAAGCGCUGAUCCAGGAAAUAGAGCUGGUUAUAAUAGUCCAUCAGCAGCUCCUGACCCGCUUCGUUCCUGCUGGGAGUUCGCAUGGACUACGGAGAUAACAGAAAGUCUACCCAGUUAUUAUCAAAGUGUGAUACCAGGCUAUCCGGAAGGCUGAAUACUGCAGAAGGUAUUUCAAGUUCACUGCCAAGUUAUCCAGAAACUUAUCAGGUAACCAAGUAAACAAUGUUUGAAUAAAGAGAUCUAGUAAGUGCAUGUGUA